rnacentral:rRNA from 1 species
GGCUUGCACAGGUGCUGCAUGGCUGUCGUCAGCUCGUGUCGUGAGAUGUUCGGUUAAGUCCGCUAACGAGCGCAACCCUCGCUGUGUGUUAUAUGUGUCACACGGGACUGCCGGUCUUAAGCCGGAGGAAGGUGGGGAUGAUGUCAAGUCAGCAUGGCCUUUAUAUCCUGGGCUACACACACGCUACAAUGGCCAACACAAUAGGUUGCCAAGCCGCGAGGUGGCGCCAAUCCAUAAAGUUGGUCUCAGUUCAGAUUGUAGGCUGCAACCCGCCUGCAUGAAGAUGGAGUUGCUAGUAACCGCAGGUCAGCUAUACUGCGGUGAAUACGUUCCCGGGGCUU